AAGCAGGUCCCUCUUUCUUAACAUUGCCCUCUACACCUCCGUCUACGACGUAUUUCCGUCGUUUAAGACAGAUAUAUAACGUUUAUGGCAAGUUAUAGGUACACCUUUCUUCUUCUUCUUCUUUUUUAACUUUCUCUCAGCAACAAGCCAACAACAGUGCCAUGAGGAUUUGGUGUGUCUCAUUAUGAAGCUCUCUGUGAGGGUGAAUGGGCAUCUCUCGGAGGUCUUCUCUCC
rnacentral:lncRNA from 1 species